rnacentral:rRNA from 1 species
AACGCGAAGAACCUUACCCAGACUUGACAUGCAGAUGACGGUAUCAGAGAUGGUACUUCCCGCGAGGGCAUUUGCACAGGUGCUGCAUGGCUGUCGUCAGCUCGUGCCGUGAGGUGUUGGGUUAAGUCCCGCAACGAGCGCAACCCUUAUCAUUAGUUGCCAACACGUGAAGGUGGGAACUCUAAUGAGACUGCCUGGGUUAACCAGGAGGAAGGUGAGGAUGAUGUCAAGUCCGCAUGGCCCUUAUGUCUGGGGCUACACACGUGCUACAAUGGUUGGUACAGAAGGCAGCGAAGCCGUGAGGUGGAGCAAAUCCGUAAAGCCAACCCCAGUUCAGAUUGCAGUCUGCAACUCGACUGCAUGAAGAUGGAAUUGCUAGUAAUGGCGUAUCAGCUACAGCGCCGUGAAUACGUUCCCGGGCCUUGUACACACCGGCUAC